GCACGCAGUCAGCCGGGACUUCUUCUGCAGGUACCGUCAGUUUCCCUUCGUCCCUGCCGAAAGGGGUUUACAACCCGAAGGCCUUCAUCCCCCACGCGGCGUCGCUGCGUCACGCUUUCGCGCAUUAGCGCAAGAUCCCCCACUGCUGCCUCCCGUAGGAGUCUGGGCCGUGUCUCAGUCCCAGUGUGGCUGGCCGUCCUCUCAGACCAGCUACCCGUCGUCGCCUAGGUGGGCCGUUACCCCACCAACAAGCUGAUAGGCCGCGGGCCCAUCCCGGACCGUCGGAGCUUUCCCGGCGCGACCAUGCGAUCGCGCCGGAGUAUCCGGUAUUAGCUCAGGUUUCCCUGGGUUAUCCCGGUGUCCGGGGCAGGUUGCCCACGUGUUACUCACCCGUUCGCCGCUCUCCCCUCGGAAGGGUUACCCCUCCUGAGGUUCCCGCUCGACUUGCAUGUGUUAGGCACGCCGCCAGCGUUCGUC
rnacentral:rRNA from 1 species